rnacentral:rRNA from 1 species
AGCGAACGCUGGCGGCAGGCCUAACACAUGCAAGUCGAACGAAGUCUUCGGACUUAGUGGCGGACGGGUGAGUAACACGUGGGAACGUGCCUUUAGGUUCGGAAUAACUCAGGGAAACUUGUGCUAAUACCGAAUGUGCCCUUCGGGGGAAAGAUUUAUCGCCUUUAGAGCGGCCCGCGUCUGGUUAUCUAGUUGGUGAGGUAAAGGCUCACCAAGGCGACGAUCAGUAGCUGGUCUGAGAGGAUGGUCAGCCACAUUGGGACUGAGACACGGCCCAAACUCCUACGGGAGGCAGCAGUGGGGAAUCUUGCGCAAUGGGCGAAAGCCUGACGCAGCCAUGCCGCGUGAAUGAUGAAGGUCUUAGGAUUGUAAAAUUCUUUCACCGGGGACGAUAAUGACGGUACCCGGAGAAGAAGCCCCGGCUAACUUCGUGCCAGCCGCCGCCGUAA